UAAGGGAAGGUUUGGUGUACCUAUCUUUGUCUCGGCUGAUUUUAUAACACUUUCGGAGAUGAUUGGCUACUUGAAACGUGGUUUGAUAGAAACUAUUGAUAGAUAGAAGUUGAAAGAAAUACGUUUUUUCGAGCCUGGGGGGGGCGCCGGGUGAGCGGAACCUUCACCUCCGGUGGUUUAGUCUCAUUUUCUUGCUCUAACUUCUAUCCCGCAUUUUAAGAUGGCGGCUGCUUUAACUGGUUCAGGCUUUUUCCGGCAUCUCCUUUCGUCAUUAUAUGAAAUAAUAUUCUUUGUUAAAUGUUAACUUUUACAUCAGAUUGUACACAGCUCUUGAGACGUCCUGCUGAAGACUCGAUGUUCAAACUCUCAAACUGCAUUUCCCUUUUUUGUAACUUGUGUGAUACCCAGCUGCUGUGACACUACUUAAUGAUUUAAAAGCUUUAGAGAGGCAAUAUAAUAGUUAAGAAUGUGAACUUUGGAGCAGAAAUUAUCCAGUUAGAGUUCUGGGAAUGGGCAAGUUAUUUGUAUGCCUCUAUAAAGCGGAUACUUGUUAUCUACGAACAAUAGUUGAGUGCCUAGUAUGUUCUAGACAGUAGGGAUGCAACAGCGAGCUAAACAAAUUUAGGUACCUAGAUUUUAUUUCUUUUUAAUUCUAGGAUUAAAGAGGUCAAUGUGUGGCUUUGAACAGGCCCCUGGCACAAGGCAAUUCAGAUUAUUAAUACUACUAUUUUUAAUCUUCAAAAACUUGCUAAAGAACUUUCUUAGUUUAGUACUUUUCAUUAAUACCGGUCUGUCUUUCGCUGUAAAUAUUUUGAAGGUAUGCGUAAUACAGAAACUGGACGUAAUACUUUCCAAAUUGGAAGAAACUGUGUUAUGUGGGACUGUUGAUUCAGCCUAUAGAAGGUUUUUGAAAGGCAUGUGGCUUGGUAUUUAGCUGUUAAUGUCAGAAUCACAUGAUGAAACGUCAAAAAACAAAAAAUGCAAGAUCCAAACAAUUUUAGUGAGUGGAUAAAGAAGAUCGCUCUUUUGGGGGGAACCUCUGUUCUAGAAAUGAGGUCAAGUAGGCAUUGAUGUUAGUAUGGUAUUUCUUCUGUCAUGUAUCUGUUUGUUUUGAAUUUACUGUCUACAGCCCCUAAAUUCAAACUAUUAAGAGAUCUGUAUUCCUUGUUGAUACUUUCUUGAAAUGCUUAUCAAUGGGAAAUUUUUAGCCAUUAGUAGUAGUUCCUUAGAUCAAGCCUUUGGAUUUUUUUUUUUCCUAAUGCUUACGUUACGAUAUUUUGAGUAUUUAUUAGACCAAGCAGCCCUAUCAAAUAAUCUUACUUGGGUUUUUUGCUGUAUUAUUUAUUUCAUAAGCUGUAGUUUGGUUUUACAGGACUAUUUAAUUAAACAACUAGAAUCAAAAAAAGGGAACUCCCAAGUUGAUUAGUGGUGUUUGAGGACCACAAUUUUACUACUUCCAUUAAACAAAAUAACAUAGAGUGCUUGUAUUUUGGGGAAAUUUUCAGAACUUUACAUAAAAUAAGUGAGCUGAGCCUA